UAUACAUUUUGACAAUUGAAAUCAGGUGUUGCCAUUACUCAAAAAUAUGUGAUAUCAAAGCACGUAUCAAAGUGAUGGCAGUAUAUUCGAGUUAUUGUUAAAAAUGUUGUUAAAAUCUAGUGCUAUUGUCAAUGUCAUCUGACAAAUAUUGACGUUCAUGACGUCAUAAUAAAAACUAUCAACUAUCCAUUUAAUUAUUUUCAUCACAUCCACAAGACCUUCAAUUCAAUAGUACUGUUUGUUGUUUUAUUGUGUGUGCGACAAAAUGUAUUUAAAGCUGUGUGUUUUAAUAUUUGCGCUGCUAGCAGUUAGCAACGUAGAAGCAUCAUCGGGCUACGACUUCGGCGACUUUUUUGCUACAGUUCUGGGUCUCGGCAUCGCGGUCAUCGGGAUUCUCGCGUGUUUAGGCAACUACGCGAGACAGAAAGCAAGAAACGAAUUCAUAUAACGCAAUCAUAUGCUCACGGCAGGUGCAAACAAGCAAUGCGAAGACAAAAUAAAAUGUAUAUGGCCUGUAAAGUUUUCAUUAAUUGUAAGAACUUCCAUAUGUUAAGUAUAAUGGGAAAAAUUAAGACUACAUCAGCUAAAAUUAAUUGAAUCAAAUAAAAAUGGUGUAAUAUAAGACAAUAGCCAAUUCCAUUCCAUAGUACUUAACUGUUAAUUAUUAUGCAAAUUAAUUCACUGAUAAAGUUACAUUUUGUUACCCUCAUUACUGCAAGAUUGCCACCUUUUCAAGAGUUUUGUAAAAAGGACUUAUUUAGAUCAAACAUGUUUAUUAGUUAAAUAAUAUAUACAUACCUCUAAAA